AGUGGGGAAUAUUGGACAAUGGGGGGAACCCUGAUCCAGCCAUGCCGCGUGUGUGAAGAAGGCCUUAUGGUUGUAAAGCACUUUAAGCGAGGAGGAGGCUCUUCUAGUUAAUACCUAGGAUGAGUGGACGUUACUCGCAGAAUAAGCACCGGCUAACUCUGUGCCAGCAGCCGCGGUAAUACAGAGGGUGCGAGCGUUAAUCGGAUUUACUGGGCGUAAAGCGUGCGUAGGCGGCUUUUUAAGUCGGAUGUGAAAUCCCCGAGCUUAACUUGGGAAUUGCAUUCGAUACUGGGAAGCUAGAGUAUGGGAGAGGAUGGUAGAAUUCCAGGUGUAGCGGUGAAAUGCGUAGAGAUCUGGAGGAAUACCGAUGGCGAAGGCAGCCAUCUGGCCUAAUACUGACGCUGAGGUACGAAAGCAUGGGGAGCAAA
rnacentral:rRNA from 1 species